AUUCGCCGCCAACAGCACGCACAGGCCCAAGCUCGCCUCGCCCAGAUCCCUUCCACCCGCCUCCAUCGCCCAUCGUCGUUGUGUAUCGUGGACACCUCAUCGGUCAGUCCUCUUCCCCUACUCCUCCCAACCACAUCGUCUGUUCAUUGAUCUACCGAGCUGCUAAUUCUGAAUGACAAUCGUGGCCGUGAUCUGCCGAGGUGCUAAUUCUCCACGACACCAUGACCGUGAUCCGCCAAGGCCGAUGUGAGCGGGCACCAACAAUCGUGGGCAAGAAGUUUGAUGGCCGUUCCCUUUGGCAUGGUGGCCGUGAUGCCCAUCCCAGCAGGGAAGAUGGAUAGGCAUCGGGCAAUCCCCAAGUGACAGGAUAAUGCUCCCUUCUACUGGAGUGCCAUCCCUUCUCGACAGCGACCAGAGCACGCCCGGCCGGUUGCACAUCGGCUUCACGUCCUCGCGCCGCUCCAUGCAUGCCAAUCCUUCUUAGUGCCGCUAACCAUGGCGAUAAAGGAAGCGCGCCUACCAUGCACUUUCAGCAUUGACAGGACGCACGUCCGACAUCAAAUAGAAGCACGAUUACAAUCGCAACGAAGCACGACCAACUUCUCCAUAUCAAGUUCCCUAACGUUGAGUUCCCAUAUUUUCAUGCAUAUAAUUAUAUGGUGAUGAAUUUUUGCCAUAACCGAGUUCCCAUAACAUGUUUUUACUCUAGUGUGUCUGUGUUUAGAGCCGGGGCGCCGGCCGAAACUUGGGCCGGUCGCCUCGCUAGCAACGCGAGCAGGCGGGGCCACGCAGGCCACACGUCCUUGACUUGUCGAGCCCUGCUGCACCGCUUCAUUUUUUUAUCCUCUUUCCUUUAUCCCGUCCGCUUCCAGUGCUUUCUUCCUCCUCCCAAAAAUGCAUCUCACCUGAAAGCAUCCAACGCCAUGGCCAUGGCCGAGCUGCCAUGCUUUACUUCCAGCUCAAGGUGCCACACCUAACAACAAAUCAGGGGCCACACGGGCUGCAACCGGCGUUUGGCGGAGCUGCAAUCGUCUAUCUGGUCGAGCUGCAUCCAACGACGCCGGGCGGCGGCGACUGCAACCCAGGAGCUGCAUACAACGGCGAGGAGGACUCCAAUCAGCUGCACCCCUCGACAGCGGAGUUGCAAUCGUGCACGUCGGAGCUGCAACCGGCGUUUGGGGGAGCUACAAGGUUGGAUGUUGAGGUGUGAUUAUUUGCUGGAACUAGAGGUAUUUUUUGCUGGAACCAGAGCUGCAUCUGGCAAGACUUGGAACAACGACGAGAUGGGGAGGGUGCACGACGACUGCUACUUUCAAGCAGCGGAGAGAAGCGGGGAGCUGCGAGUCACGAUGAUGGCGGUGGCCGUGGUGGGGUGGGACGAGCUAGGUGCAACGGCCAUGGAGGGGCUGCCGGAGAGGCGGGAUUCCGGCAGCUGCGCGGGUGGGGGCAGCGAUGCAAUGGAUUUCGGCGAUCUGGGCCGCAUCCUCUCCUUUUUUUUUUCUUUUUUCUCUCAUGCGCGAAUGCGAGAGUGGGGGACCAAACGCUCCUAAUCUGACGGUUGGCAAUCAGCGGAGCGGACGCACAGGAUGGGACCGGCCGAAAUUUUCGGCCGGUGCGCCGGCGCCUAUCACCGGCCUUUAUAUAUAUGUUGUGAGAAAAUGAAGAUAUUGCAUCCUAGCAACCAUGCUUCAUAGAUUAUUGCAUAUGAUUCUAUGGUGAUGAAUUUUUGCUUCCACCAUUGUAAGUGUGUGCUACUUUGACUGUACAAUUUUUUUGCUUCAA